GAACCGUCCAAACGUUAUUCGGAAUCACUGGGCUUAAAGGGUGCGUAGGCGGCGCGGGAAAGUUGGGGUGUGAAAUACCUCGGGCUCAACCGAGGAACUGCGCCCAAAACUGCCGUGCUCGAGGGAGAUAGAGGUGAGCGGAACUUAGGGUGGAGCGGUGAAAUGCGUUGAUAUCCUAAGGAACACCGGUGGCGAAGGCGGCUCACUGGAUCUCUUCUGACGCUGAGGCACGAAAGCUAGGGUAGCGAACGGGAUUAGAUACCCCGGUAGUCCUAGCCGUAAACGAUGAGCACUGGAUUGGAGGGUCCUCCAUAGCCUUCCAGUCGCAACGAAAGCGUUAAGUGCUCCGCCUGGGGAGUAUGGUCGCAAAGGCUG
rnacentral:rRNA from 1 species